CGCGAGGAAUACCAACUGUUCAUUGAUCCUCAUUCAACAUACGAAAAAUCUGCGUCGGUGCAACUUUUUUUUUGGUGCUGUUGUAAACGUGAAAAGUUGGUUAGCCACUGGCCCACUAACCUGGAGGAGAAGAGGAUUUAGCCGGCGUCUCUCUCCGCGCGCCGACCGCUGCCACUGUUCGCCCCGCUGACGGGCGUUCGGCUUACUACUGCCUCGUCGCAGCGCCUCUUUCCCCUUCCCCUCCUGCCGCUACCCCCUCCACCGGGCAACACCCCUCGUGGAACUUCCUUGUGCGUAACCGCCGCGCCGGGCGGACAGGACAGCAACGGGAAGCCUACAACUCACGUAGUUUCGGUUCCCUACCACGUUCGUGCAACUUCGGAUUUCUCUCAAAAAUUGAAAUUUAAAAAAAAAAUCGAAGGGUUAGGUUAGGUUAUGUUAGGUCAGUCACAACAUGCUUGUUUUCGUUGGAAACUUCUGAUUUAGCGGCUGAAGUGGCGUUAGUACCAAAAAGGCAAAACUUCGGAAAUGUUCGGAAAUUUUUGCAGGGAACCGAAACUACGUGAGUUGUAGGCUUUUCCCGACAGCAACACCUGCCUUGUUUACAAGCGCGGGCGGCCGACGCUCGUGACGUCACGACGACGCGCAGUUCGGGCGAGGCGGAGAAGAAGAAAAAAUAUAUUCAUACACAUCUGUGCGACGGAGGCAUAAGACACCAUGUCACAUAAACCAUGUGUUUUUUUCCCCCCAUGAGAGUAGUUCAAAGAAUCUAUAUAAGUAAAAAAUGUAAACGUUCGUUCGUUCGUUCAAAAUCUUAAAAAUCUCCGAAAGUUCUUCAUCGUUUGCUUUGAAAUUUUGGCACAACGUUACAUUCGAAUACGCGCGUGUCUUACAUACUCAUGUGACACCUGUGGUAGGUAAAAAUAUAGAUAAUUAAAAGCACAGAUUUUUUAAUAUUUUCAUUGCUAUAGUGAUAUAUAUAUAUAGGUAUAUAGAGGGAUAUAUAGCUAUAGAGAGAGAUAGAGUGAGGUAGAUAUAUGUGUACCCCGAGAUAGAGAGAAAUAUAGAGGUAUACAUAGAGAGAUAAAGAUUUAGAGAAUUAGAUAGAGAUAAAGAAAUAAUUUUAAUAUGUGUACCUUCUUCAAACACAUUACAAAAAGUAAUUCUGUUUUCAUGCGCUUACAGUGUAACAUUUUCAUUGCUCUUUGCUAACCUGUUUCUCCUGGCAUUGCUGCAGAGUCAUUGGCGCAAAUAUAUAACAUGCAUGGGGGAAUAGCGUAAUAUUUUGACGAGGCCGAUAGUUUAGCUUUUUUUUUCCUGUGAUAAAGUAGAAGGCUGCCAAUACGGUUGCGAUCCUGGUGUGUAUUAAAUCGAAUCCACAGCAAGGGGUAAUAUUGAAUGACCAGAGACAUUUAACACACAAUGUAGUUUCCCAAGGGGUUCUUUAUUAAAAACAUUAUUUUUUAAUUUUUUAUAUCCAUCAUAUGUAUCAGAAUAAUUUUUUAUUUGCACAAUAUAAAAAAAAUCGAUUUUUUGAUAAGAAUUUCGUGUAUAUUAAAUUUAAGUGUUUGUUAUAUUCAUCAUUAGGCGCCUUACAACUAACUAGUUUUAAAUAAUGCCUCCUUAUAUACACAAAUGCGUAUUUUCUUCUAAAAAAUAUGUUAAUUUUUGACAUCUCGUAGAUUUUUAGUGAUAUGCCACUGGAAAGCACGUCAAAAGGUGGUCACGUUUACGGUUAAAAGUGCAUUUUUUCCCCCCGAAAGUGGACUUAGUGUGUUAUGCCUUCGAGGUACAGAUGAAUUGUUUUCAGUCAGUCUGCGUUGCUGCUGAGAGGAUGACUUGAGCAAUUUACACGGCUAGAGAAAAAAAUCCUAGGAAGUAAGCGGUCUCGUUCCCCUGCCAUUGCUGUCAACUAAGCGAUUAUCCUGUAAAAUUAUUCCCUUCAGCUCUCCUCCAUGUACUUUCUCACCAGUUGUUUAUCGAGCUGUUACAAGGUCACGCAAGUGACCAUAAGCUAGAACACUUGCAUUACUUUUUACUGCUAAAAGUUACGUUCGAGUAAAAUAUUUUGAGAGAUAAUAUCAGACGAGACAUAAAAUGCAAGAGUAAAGGAAAAAGCCUGCAAAUGAUAUCAAUGGCAAUAAAACUGAAAUAAAUGACAUGGUGUGUGAGACCGAGUCUUAAAAUUGGUAUUAAGUAAGUAACCGUGGCUUACUUUUUUUUUGACGUGACAACUUCUAAUAAAUCGAUGAACGCCGGCUGCACGCACGAAAAAAUGUCCCGUUGCGCACAUUGUCCCGUUUCGCUGUGUCCCGUUACGCUCAUUUUAUAUUGCUCUUUGCUAACCUGAACCUCCUAGCAUUGCGACCGAGUCCGUGGCGUAAUUCUGUUUUCAUGCAUUUCAAUGUAACAUUUUCAUUGCUCUUUGCUAACCCGUUCCUCCUAGCAUUGCUGCAGAGUCCGUGGCGCAAAUAUAUUAUUUUUGACUGCAUCUUGGUGUUGGGUAAGCCAUUUUCCUCCACAUCAUCCUUGAAACACUCCCAUUCGUUUCCUACUUUUCCUAUCACCGUUCUAACACAGAUUGGAAGAAGUUAAAUAGCAAACAUAUAUAAAAGUUAUAGUUAAAAUAAUCUCUUCGUUAAAGUAAUAAACAUAUUUUAAUUAAUGAGUGAAAUUAAAAGUAAAUUUAUCAAUUAAA